UGUUAUAUCUCACUUAGGGGGUUGGUAAUCAUGUAAUGGAUAAUACAUUCAGAGUUUAAUCCGCAUUGUUUUACCACUCUUUGUAAACUCUGAAUGGCUAGACUCAUCUUUAGUCUAGUACCACACCUUUAGCCCUAUUCAUGCUUCAUACUACAUGCGUUCUUGUGUCAUUGUCAUCAUGUGCAUUCAUGUGCAAAAACUACGGAGAGUUUUGUUGAUGCAGUUUGUGAGACGAGAACCGGUUCCACUCCUCCGUAAAAAAAAACACAAAAAAGAGAAAAGAAC
rnacentral:lncRNA from 1 species